rnacentral:piRNA from 1 species
UGCAACUCGAAUGGCGGAGUGUCUCGAUG